CUACGCCAACCCGCAAGGGAGGCAGGCCCCCAAGGAGUGGUUGGUAACUGGGGUGAAGUCGUAACAAGGUAGCCGUAGGGGAACCUGCGGCUGGAUCACCUCCUUUCUAAGGA
rnacentral:rRNA from 1 species